UACGAAGGGGGCUAGCGUUGCUCGGAAUCACUGGGCGUAAAGGGUGCGUAGGCGGGUCUUUAAGGCAGGGGUGAAAUCCUGGAGCUCAACUCCAGAACUGCCUUUGAUACUGAAGAUCUUGAGUGCGGGAGAGGUGAGUGGAACUGCGAGUGUAGAGGUGAAAUUCGUAGAUAUUCGCAAGAACACCAGUGGCGAAGGCGGCUCACUGGCCCGAUACUGACGCUGAGGCACGAAAGCGUGGGGAGCAAACAGG
rnacentral:rRNA from 1 species